rnacentral:rRNA from 1 species
GUGUCAGCAGCCGCGGUAAUACAGAGGUCCCGAGCGUUGUUCGGAUUCACUGGGCGUAAAGGGUGCGUAGGCGGUCUCGAAAGUCUGAUGUGAAAGCCCCGGGCCCAACCCGGGAAUGGCAUCGGAAACUGCGGGGCUAGAGGGUUGGAGGGGGGACUGGAAUUCUCGGUGUAGCAGUGAAAUGCGUAGAGAUCGAGAGGAACACCAGUGGCGAAGGCGAGUCCCUGGACAACCCCUGACGCUGAGGCACGAAAGCUAGGGGAGCAAACAGGAUUAGAAACCCGAGUAGUCC